UUUAAAUCUGCGUAAGAUAUGAGAAGGGAAGAAACAGAUGAGCGUUUAAGAGAAUACUUUCUUUGUUCCCUGACGUAUGUCUCUUCGCAUGCUAGCAGUCUAAAUGUAUUAAUCUUGUGCUUUUUUGUCUCAUGGGGUUCAAAUAAGAAUUUUCUUAGAAAAUCUGAUCAGCUAGCUACGUGGCAGCAUUAACAAGUCCAAACUGUAGACCAUGCGAGACCCGUCUUUGUUGUGUACUUUAAUAUAUGUACACAAACAAGAGAUUGCACACAAAACAUACUUCUCCCGUUGAUCUUUCAUCUGUGUAACCAGUAAUCAUGGGAAACAGUAUCUUUGCAAAUUGCUGCAGGCAUGUCACUGAUCUCAUCUUCCAGACACACAGCUUUAAUUCGGCUGAGAGGGCCCCUCUCUUACCCAAAUCUCCCAUUAGUUGCACUGCAUCUCCUGAUGUCUCUCUCCCUGUUCAAAUGAAGUUAGAUGUCUCAGAAGCGUGCAAGUGCUUGCCACUGUAUCCGGACAUUAUUCUCAGCAAUGCGUCGAAUGAAAGUCUGCAAAAAUGGCCAGAAUAUGUUCAAGGCUUACCCAAGGAGAAGAGCAGUGGAGAAACGAUGAAGCCCUGUGAAAACAGCUGCUCGAAACUCCGUGUUGCUGUUGCUAGCUUAAUAAAGCAGACAGAGGCAUCUUCUGCUCUGGCUGUCCUUCCUGGCGACCUUGAGAAAGGAUCAGCUACACAGUUAAAUCAUUCUCAGUCACUUGAGGCCUGCCAGAAUUGCGGGAAACUUGAGGCCAAUGGCCUAGACUCUAAAUCGUUCAACCAGGAAGAGCCUGUGGUACCAGCUGACAAAAGAGCUGCAGCCCACAGAAUGCCUAUUGUUGAUUGGCAGCAAAACCGAGACAUCUCUGAGAGGGGAAAAGCCUCCAAUUCGGAACCAUCAUUAGCAGAUCCGGGUGUCCAGUUAAAACACAAAACUUAUGCUUCUAACUUGGGGAGCUGUGAAGCGGCUGAAACACCUGAAUCUAACCACUCUGUAAAGGCAGAGAAAAGCCAGAAUAUACAAGAGAUGGUCCUGUCUGUCAUUACAGAUGAGAAUACACAUGUGAUCCAGGAUAAAAGCACUUGUUACUUACUGACCAAUCCUGCAGUUGACCUUGAUCCUGAUCUUGAAGUGAGCAUACUGCCAUCAAAGCAGAAGAAAAGGAGGAGGAAAAGGAAACUUUGUUUUUUAGAACAUCCGUCUGGCAUGGCUUUAAUGAACGGUGACGGCUCUUACGAGCACCUCAAGGAGGAGACCAGGCAAAAUGGCCACGAGGAGGUUGACCCAGGGGAUGAUGCAAAUGACCAGGAAGUUAUCGUCAUACAGGACACCGGCUUCACCGUCAAGAUCUACGCUCCGGGGAUAGAACCUUUUUCCCUGCAGGUCUCUCCUCAAGAGAUGGUGCAGGAGAUCCACCAAGUGCUGAUGGACAGAGAGGACACCUGUCACCGAACCUGCUUCUCUCUGCAGCAGGAUGGGAAUGUCCUGGAUAACUUUGCAGAGCUGAAAACUAUUGAAGGGCUGCAGGAGGGGUCGGUGCUGAAAGUGGUUGAAGAGCCCUACACGGUACGGGAAGCCAGGAUACACGUGCGUCACAUUCGGGAUCUUCUGAAGAGCCUUGACCCGUCCGAUGCUUUCAAUGGCGUGGACUGCAAUUCACUCUCAUUCCUGAGCGUCUUCACGGAAGGAGACCUAGGAGACAGUGGGAAACGGAAGAAGAAAGGUACUGAAAUGGAACAAAUUGACUGCACCCCUCCUGAACAUAUCCUGCCAGGUGGCAAAGAAAGACCCCUCUGUGCCCUCCAGCCCCAGAACAGAGACUGGAAGCCUUUGCAGUGCCUAAAAGUCUUGACCAUGAGUGGCUGGAACCCCCCACCUGGCAACCGGAAAAUGCACGGAGACCUCAUGUAUCUGUACAUCAUCACUGUGGAGGAUCGACACGUUAGCAUCACUGCGUCCACCAGAGGAUUUUACCUGAAUCAGUCGACAGCAUACAAUUUUAAUCCUAAACCUGCCAAUCCGAGUUUUCUCAGUCAUUCCCUGGUGGAACUCCUUAACCAGAUCAGCCCGACCUUCAAAAGAAAUUUCUCAGCUCUGCAGAAGAAACGGGUUCAGAGGCAUCCCUUUGAAAGGAUAGCCACCCCCUUCCAGGUUUACAGUUGGACGGCACCACAGGCAGAGCACGCCAUGGACUGCGUGAGGGCAGAAGAUGCUUAUACGUCAAGGCUGGGCUAUGAAGAGCACAUACCUGGACAGACCAGAGACUGGAACGAGGAGUUGCAAACCACACGAGAGCUGCCCCGCAAGAAUCUGCCAGAGAGGCUGCUGAGAGAACGAGCCAUUUUCAAGGUCCACAGCGACUUCACGGCGGCUGCUACCAGAGGAGCCAUGGCUGUCAUCGAUGGCAACGUCAUGGCCAUCAAUCCCAGCGAGGAGACCAAGAUGCAGAUGUUCAUCUGGAACAACAUUUUCUUCAGCCUUGGCUUCGACGUCCGCGACCACUACAAGGACUUCGGGGGGGACGUCGCUGCCUACGUGGCGCCCACCAACGACCUCAAUGGGGUGCGGACGUAUAACGCAGUGGACGUUGAGGGGCUGUACACAUUGGGGACCGUGGUGGUGGAUUACCGGGGUUACCGGGUCACUGCACAGUCCAUCAUUCCAGGGAUCUUAGAACGAGAGCAGGAGCAGAGUGUCAUCUACGGGUCGAUAGACUUCGGCAAGACCAUUGUCUCUCACCCCAAGUACCUGGAGCUGCUGGAGAAGACCAGCCGGCCCCUCAAGAUCCAGAAACACAAAGUUCUGAAUGACAAGAACGAGGAGGUGGAGCUGUGCUCGUCUGUGGAGUGCAAAGGCAUCAUUGGCAAUGAUGGACGCCACUAUAUCCUUGACCUGCUCCGCACCUUCCCCCCCGACCUGAACUUUUUGCCGGUCGAAGGGGAGGAGAUGCCGGAAGAAUGUAAGAAAAUGGGAUUUCCCAAGCAGCACAGGCACAAGCUUUGCUGUCUCAGGCAGGAGCUGGUGGACGCCUUUGUAGAGCACAGAUAUCUCUUAUUCAUGAAACUGGCUGCUCUGCAGCUGAUGCAGCAGAAGGCCAGCAAGCAGGAGAACUUGGGCGUGCUGGAGAAUGGGGCCUCCGCAGAGAAUGGAACAGUGGGAAGCGAGAAAUCAGAAUCAGAUGAUGGUAAAAUAGAGGAGAACGUGGCUGGAUUAGAUCAGGUUAAAGAGCUGGCAGAGACCAUUGCAUCUGAUGAUGGAACAGUGGAUCCCAAAAGCAGAGAGGUGAUUCAAAAUGCCUGCAAAGCCGUGGGCUCCAUCAGCGACACGUCCUUUGACAUUCGGUUUAACCCGGAUAUCUUCUCACCAGGUGUUCGUUUCCCUGAGUCCAGCAAAGAGGAAAUGCAGGAUCAGAAGCAGUUAUUAAAGGAUGCUGCUGCUUUCUUACUGUCAUGCCAAAUCCCAGGCUUGGUGAAAGACUGCCUGGACCACACCAUGCUCCCGAUGGAUGGCGCUACGUUAGCAGAGGCCAUGCACCAGAGAGGCAUCAACAUGCGCUACCUAGGCAAAGUCGUUGACUUCAUCGCCAAGACCCCCACCCGCCCACAGCUGGAUCACAUCUAUAAAAUUGGAAUCAGCGAAUUGAUCACUCGGUCAGCCAAACACAUCUUCAAGACAUACCUUCAGGGCGUGGAGUUGUCUGGUUUAUCGGCAGCCAUCAGUCACUUCCUCAAUUGCUUCCUAAGCUCCUUCCUGAAUCCAGUUGCCCAUCUCCCUGCUGAUGAGCUGGUCUCCAAGAAGAAGAAUAAGAAAAGGAAAAACAGGAACCUUGGAAAUGCUGAUAACACUGCCUGGGCCAGCAUGACCCCUCAGGAGCUUUGGAAGAAUAUUUGUUCCGAGGCAAAGAACUACUUUGAUUUUCAUCUUGAAUGUGAGAAUAUUGACCAAGCAGCAGAGGUGUGUAACCUCCAGAAAAUCACCCUUCUACGUGAGAUCUCCCUCAAAACUGGAAUCCAGAUCCUGUUGAAAGAGUAUAACUUCGAUAACCGGCACAAACCCACCUUCACAGAGGAGGAUAUUCUCAACAUCUUCCCAGUCGUGAAGCAUGUAAACCCUAAAGCUUCAGAUGCUUUCCACUUCUUCCAGAGCGGGCAAGCAAAGGUCCAGCAAGGUUUCUUGAAGGAGGGCUGUGAGCUCAUCAACGAAGCCUUAAACUUGUUUAACAAUGUGUACGGUGCUAUGCACGUGGAAAUCUGUGCCUGCCUUCGGCUGCUGGCUCGCCUCAACUAUAUCAUGGGAGACUACUCAGAGGCCUUAAGUAAUCAACAGAAAGCGGUGCUAAUGAGUGAGAGGGUCCUGGGCAUUGAGCAUCCCAACACAAUCCAAGAAUACAUGCACCUGGCUUUGUAUUGCUUUGCCAACAGCCAACUCUCCACAGCAUUAAACUUAUUGUACCGCGCACGCUACCUCAUGCUGUUGGUAUUUGGAGAAGACCACCCAGAAAUGGCACUCUUAGAUAACAACAUUGGUUUGGUGCUUCACGGGGUUAUGGAAUACGACCUGUCCCUCCGAUUCCUGGAGAAUGCUCUGGCGAUCAACUCCAAGUAUCACGGCUCCAAGUCUCUGAAGGUGGCACUGAGCCAUCACUUGGUAGCCCGAGUGUACGAGAGUAAAGCAGAAUUCCGAUCGGCUCUACAGCAUGAAAAGGAAGGCUACACAAUCUACAAAAAUCAGCUUGGAGAACACCACGAAAAGACCAAAGAAAGCUCUGAGUACUUGAAAUACCUGACUCAGCAAGCAGUGGCUCUUCAACGCACAAUGAAUGAGAUCUACAAGAAUGGAUCCAAUGCUAACAUUAUGCCACUUAAGUUCACGGCUCCCAGUAUGGCCAGCGUGCUGGAGCAGCUUAACAUUAUCAAUGGAAUUCUCUUCAUUCCACUCAGCCAAAAGGACUUGGAGAACCUUAAAGCAGAGGUGCAGCGACGCCAGCAGCUCCAAGAGGCCGUGAAGAACAGCGAACAGCUGGAAGCAGAAGAUGCAGUCUCCGAGGAGAGAGAGGCUGAGCCAAGCAUCCCUUCUGCUGAGGUCCCCCCAGCACAGAGCUCUGCUUAAAGUGUACCUCGCUUAAAAAACCCACACAAAAUUUAAACCUUCCCCUUUUUCUGAAUCUGAACCAGGGUCUUGGACUCCCCUGGGGCAACUUCUCCUUUUUUUGACAAUGUUAUUGCACUGGUACAAUUAAUACACAAUGCAAAGAACUAAGUUGAGAACUAGAAUCUGACUGCGCUCGUGUCCACCACGCGAAGGGGGAAAGGUGGCCAGGAUGCAGCAGCAUACGAAAACAUCCUAGGAUGGCUGAGUCAGGAGACCUCAGCAGAACGAAUGUUCACAUCCUCCUGUAUCUAAGCUAGAAAUCUCUGUUCUGUCCCCGGCUCAAUCUACAGUCUUAGUACAGCCAGACAAGGAGUGUGUCAGUGAAACGAAAAAAAAAAAAUCUGACUCACUCUGUUGAAUUCUCAAAGGCAGCUAAAGAUCCAGAAGUUAGAGCAUGCUGCACAUUGCUGGACAAUAUGGACAACCCUUCCAAACUGGGCUGGCAAAUCAUCUUGUUCUAAUACCGUCCAGGCUGUACUUGUUUAUUCUGAGAACUAAAAAAUAAAAAUAAUGUCUUAUCAGUGUCAAAUUCACUCCCUUGUUACCUACCACUAGGACAUUAGACGGCAGGGGAUGGAGAGAGACUCCCCACUCAACAGAUAGGGGUGUUUUAGAGAAAUGGGGACACAAAUGUAGGGGUGGAUGGGACCUCAAGAGGUCAUCUAGCCCAUCCUGGACAGGUGUUUGUCUAACCCGUUCUUACACAAACACGUCAGAUUCCAGAUCUCCCUAGGUAACCUGUUCCCAUGCUUAACUAUCCUUAGAAUUAGGGAAAAUGUCCUGAUAUCUAACCUAAAUCAUUAGUCAGAUCGGCAAAAGAUUUCUAAAAAUAAAGUUGAGCUUUUAGUGGACCUUCUGUAUGAGCCUUUCCCACAAGGGCUAGAAACUAACAUCAAAGCUCAACAUUUUUCAUGCAAUACAUGAUUCCAGGAGCUGUGCCUUCAAGAAAAAACAGCAAAUGUCAUGAAAGCCUUUAGAGUGAUCGUUCACUGUAGUACAGUAUUCACUAAAAUGUAUUGCAUGGAUAGACGUUUCCAGUAGGUUGCCAAAGUCCAACUGUAUCUUCCCACUCCCUCUGCUGAACUGAAGCUUUUCCUUUCAUUAUAGCAUUUACUCUAAGUUCAGCAGUUGCUAUUAAGGUACAAAUACUGUGGCCUUCCAUAUGGCUCUCAUUUCAUUCUAGCACAAAGCCCAUUUCUUUACUUCUACAAACAUGGAUGCGGUUUGAUAGUCAACUAGAGCCAUUGAUAGGUCCUCUUCAUGCAGUCUCAAGAUAUUGAUCAUCUCCACUGCAAAUAACUUACAGUUGAUAAUGUACGGUAUCAAGCAAGGCCUAUUCCCAAUGCAGAAGACUGGAUUUGAUACAAAUAGCCUUUGCAGUUUGCCAGGUAGCAUAUAUCAAGCUGAAAAGGUUCAUAGUUGUUCUUCACUGAUUGGGUCUUACUCAUUUUGUGUACAUCAAACAACCAGUAUAGUUCUCCUGCUCUGCAAGACACCCUUCACAUUGGGUCCUCUCUACCAUAAUUGUUUCUCAGAGCUUUCUAAACCAGGUUGAGUGCUGCAUAUUAAGUAGUUUAUGCUCAAAAUUUUCUACUCUUGAAACCGACAACUGUGGAAGGGAACUGUCCUCUAGAUAAGGUAAGUCUUAGACAAAAAUAGACCUCAAACAAGCAAGCACUGCAGAGAGAUGCCACUGCAAAUCUCUGUACUAUUGCUACAAAGCUAUCAUGAAGGACCAUUCAAUAAACCUAAAUCCCCACGCUGGGCUGACACCUCAAAAAGACUGAAGACAUAUAAGGAAGUACUCCAUUAAAAGCAUUAUCUCAAUUGAUGCUUGUUUAAUAGGAAGGGACAAAAUUAGACAGUAAAGAAACUAAAAUAAUGGGAAAAAGAGUUAGACAGCUUCCUUUGAACUCUGCAGUGGUGUUGUAUUUGUGUCAGUCCCAGGAUAUUAAAGAGACAAAGGUGAGUGAAGUAACAUUUCACUGGACCAGCUUCUCUCUCAUCCACAAAAGUUGGUCCAGUGAAACAUUACCUCACACACCUUGUCUCCCUUGAACUAGUCAAGUCAAAUUUUCAGUUUGCAUCACUUGAAUCCAAGAUUGUCAUUUAUGUAAUUCAGUUACUCCUCUUAUUAUAUUAGAGCUAACUAAUCAACUUGAACUAUUUCCACACUUCCUGGUUGGAAUGGGUUUAGGAGUUAAAAGUGUGGAGUGAAAUCUGAAGGGUGAACCUACAGAAGCUUUUAAUCAAGUAGUUUUACUUCCUGCAUCCAAGGAAACAAAAACCACAUCUAGUUUUAUAUGCAUUUAAUAGUUUACCAAUUGGUACAAUAAGAUUUUUUUAAUAUGCAGAAAACAUGAAUAAAUUUUGUUUUACACAGUCUGAGAGCAACAAAUCUUACUGUAAAACACAGAGCAGUAUUAUAUACAUUCCUUUACUGAUUUUAUUAUUAUUGUGUCAUAUCUUCAGUUAACUCCUACAGUUUGGGAACAGUUUUCUCCAACUGCAAUCUCUACAUCUUUCUUAUGAAAAAAGUUGAUGUUUGCCUUCAUGUCAAUGUCAGGAUCAAAUUCUAAACUUGAAGAUUUCACUAACUUAUCUUCAGAAUGAACUGGGGGAAGCCUGAAGGAUAGGUAGGACAAGAAAGCAGCUACUUACAUGACACAGUGGAAAGAUAAAAAAGGCCAGUUAAGUCCAGUCGUGACUUGUAAAUCCAGCUCACUUCCCCCAUCCCCCAAGUGUUCUUCCCUACCAUUUUUUACAUGUAGUUUUUCUCCACUAAUGGAGAUUAUUCUUUGUAGUAACUAACACAUUGGACUUUAUGUACAGCUGGACAGAGAAUGAGCAGUCUAAGUGCCUUUUUCCUUCAUUCAAUUCAGCAAUUUUUAAUCUUCAAAUUGUUAAAGGAUUAUCAAGCCACCACGGUCAACAAAAAAAGUAUAUAUUUUUUCUUUUAAAUAGCUUUUAUGAGGAACAAAAGCUAUUUAAGAGUGAUAUUACCAGGCAGUUCACAAAAACGGGAGGAGGCAAACAAGAGAAGCAGGGUACUGAUAGUAUAAGUAGACUGGGCUUGGUGAGUCUAUAGCCAAAGCUUUCAAACCACUACAGUGCUCCACAGCCCUUGGAGAACUUGCUAGCAACUAGUUUUGCUUUGCUUUUUUCUUUUUAAUUAGUGCCCUGGGCACAUCAUUGGUCACACCAUACACAAAAGCAGGACGGCUUUUUAAUCUUCUAAAGUGCAAGAUGCUAUAAAACAUCAACUUUCAGGUUAUGUCUAAACCACAAUAAAUUUUGCACUUUCAAGAAUGCAUCUAGGAUUUCCUGGGCACAUUAAGUUAGUGUGGCACUGGAAUGUCUGUCUUCUCAUUCAUUUUAACAACAUUUAUAUUUGUCUAUUUGGGAAUGUAGCACUAUGUUUUCUUUUUAAAAUGCCAAUUUUAGUAAGGAAAGUGACAAAGCAGCAGUGAACCUCUAAACCCUCCAAUAAAUUCCUUUUACAAUCCAAA